rnacentral:rRNA from 1 species
AUGGCUGUCCUGAAGAUCAUUAAGCACUGUGAGGAGUUUGCGCCUGCUCUGGUUACAGGUCAACUGCUUGGUUUGGAUGUUGGUAGUGUUCUGGAAGUGACCAACUGUUUUCCUUUCCCUAUAAGAGAGGACGACGAGGAAGCAGAUGCAGAUGGUGCGAACUAUCAGCUUGAGAUGAUGAGGUGCUUGAGGGAGGUUAAUGUUGACAAUAACACUGUUGGAUGGUAUCAGUCCUGCUUGCUUGGAUCUUUUCAAACCGUUGAGCUGAUUGAAACAUUUAUGAAUUAUCAGGAGAACAUCCGGAGAUGCGUGUGUAUCGUGUAUGACCCAUCUAGGUCUAGUCAAGGAGUGCUAGCUCUUAAAGCCCUGAAGCUCACAGACUCUUUUAUGGAUCUGUACCGCAACAAUGGUUUAACUGGAGAGAAGCUAAGGGAAAAGAAAUUGUCAUGGGUUGAUAUUUUCGAGGAGAUACCGAUUAAAGUGUCCAACUCAGCGCUUGUCAGUGCCUUCAUGAAGGAGCUGGAACCUGAGUCACCUGUUUCACAGUGUGACUUUGACCGUCUUAAAUUGUCGACUGCGCCCUUUAUGGAAAGGAACCUAGAAUUUAUGAUUGGGUGCAUGGAUGGUCUUUCAUCAGAGCAAAACAAGUUCCAAUAUUACUAUCGCAACCUAGGAAGGCAACAGUCACAGCAACAGGCAUGGCUUCAAAAGAGAAGGCAAGAGAACAUGUCUAGAAAGGCUGCUGGCGAGGAGCCGUUGCCAGAAGAAGAUCCAUCCAACCCUAUCUUCAAGCCGCUUCCUGAGCCAUCCCGCUUAGAGGGUUAUCUCGUAACCAAUCAGAUCUCGAGCUACUGCAACCAUAUCAAUGGGGUUGCUGGCCAGAGUUUCAACAGGCUAUACUUGAUGAAGGCGUUGCAGGAAGAUUAG